rnacentral:rRNA from 1 species
AUUGAACGCUGGCGGCAGGCUUAACACAUGCAAGUCGAGCGGAGAUGAGGUGCUUGCACCUUAUCUUAGCGGCGGACGGGUGAGUUAUGCUUAGGCAUCUGCCUAUUAGUGGGGGACAACAUUCCGAGAGGAAUGCUAAUACCGCAUACGUCCUACGGGAGAAAGCAGGGGAUCUUCGGACCUCGCGCUAAUAGAUGCGCCUAAGUCGGAUUAGCUUGUUGGGGGGGUAAAGGCCUACCAAGGCGACGAUCUGUAGCGGGUCAGAGAGGAUGAACCGCCACACUGGGGAUGAGACACGGCCCAGAAUCCUAAGGGAGGCAGCAGGGGGGAAAUUUGGACAAUUGGGGGAACCCUGAUCCAGCCAAGCCGCGUGUGUGAAGAAGGCCUUAUGGUUGUAAAGCAGUUUAAGCGAGGAGGAGGCUACUGAGACUAAUACUCUUGGAUAGUGGACGGUACUCGCAGAAUAAGCACCGGCUAACUCUGUGCCAGCCGCCGCCGUAA